UUGAUAAAACAAAAAUGCUGUCUGGUGUUUUUUUUUUUGUCUCUUCUUUACGCGCAUAAUUCUUUAUUUAUUUAUUUAUUAGAACCCAACCCAUUCAUAAAAACAAAAAAAAACUCAAAACUGAAAC
rnacentral:misc_RNA from 1 species